rnacentral:lncRNA from 1 species
CCCCAUGAUCCUGGAGCAGCGCGGGCAGUUGACCUCCGCGUGGAUCUGGUCGAAUUUGUCGCCGGAGGAUCCGUGCCAUCUGCGCUGGUCCCGGAACCCUAACCCUAUGAGAGAGAGUGGCGGGGGGGUGAGGGAUGAAUGAGAGGGAGAGGGUGAGGUGAGGGCGGUGGCGGUGGAGAGAGAGAUGUGAGUUUAGGUGUUAGGAGACGGAGGGUUGUUCUCCGUCGGAGUAUUGCAGACAUAGAGAGAGAGCAGUGCCACACUACCAGCAGAGUGUUGUGAAAGAGAGUCUUG